GGCAUGGUGGCCAAGUGGUAGGCGUCGGUCUCGUAAACUGAAGACCAUGGGUUCAAAUCCCAUCCGUGCCU